AGAGUUUGAUCCUGGCUCAGGAUAAACGCUGGCGGCGCACAUAAGACAUGCAAGUCGAACGAACUUAAUACAUUCUUUUAGAUUGUAAGCGGUUAGUGGCGGACUGGUGAGUAACGCGUGAGUAACCUGCCUAUUAGAGGGGAAUAACAGUGAGAAAUCAUUGCUAAUACCGCAUAUGCUCACAGUAUCGCAUGAUACAGUGAGGAAAGGAGCAAUCCACUAAUAGAUGGACUCGCGUCUGAUUAGCUAGUUGGUGAGGUAGAGGCUUACCAAGGCGACGAUCAGUAGCCGGACUGAGAGGUUGAACGGCCACAUUGGGACUGAGAUACGGCCCAGACUCCUACGGGAGGCAGCAGUCGGGAAUAUUGCGCAAUGGAGGAAACUCUGACGCAGUGACUCCGCGUAUAGGAAGAAGGUUUUCGGAUUGUAAACUAUUGUCGUUAGGGAAGAAAAAAGACAGUACCUAAGGAGGAAGCCGGCUAACUAUGUGCCAGCAGCCGCGGU
rnacentral:rRNA from 1 species